UUUUUUAAUUAAAAUUCUAUUAUUAUAAAACUGUUGUUUGUUACAUAGAUGCUCCACAACAUGAGAUAAAAACCCAUCCAAUGCAUUAUGCAGUCUAAUUUUCUUUUUAAGUCUAAGACUAAAUGUUUGACUCUGUUUUAGUUAGGAUAAAUUUAAAGUAAUUAAUAAAUCUAUAAUGGUACAUUUUCUUAAUAAAAAGGCAGAAAAUAUUUCUAUGAUAAAAAUCGUGUACAAUUAUGACACAUCUUACGGAUUGUGAUUUGUCAACUUAGAGUGAAAGCUACAAAUCACAUCAGGAUACUGUCAUGAAUAGAGAGAAGGCUUGCCCUCAACGGGUGUGUCAGAAAUCAAUUUGUUGUAUUCACAAGAAAACAGAGUAAC